AAAGCACCUUUAACCGUUUGGUAUGUUCCAGAACAAUCUCUCCGAGUGUCAAGAAGACCACUUUUCAGAUGUAGCUUUAUCUCCCAUUUACCCUUAUGCUGCCAACUGUCAGAUGUACAUGAUCCACACUUUUAUAUAAAAGCAAAAUAAAUAUUAAAAAAAGCAAAAAAGGAAAAAACCAAAAAU